rnacentral:lncRNA from 1 species
UGAAGUGUUCCUUCAAGGCUUAUGCCUUCCUUUUUUUUUUUUUUUUUUUGCAAGUCUUGUCCAUUGUCCAUAUUAUGUAGGAGGUGUUGUCUCUUAAGGUCAAUGGAUUAUUAAAAGCUUGAUUAACCUUGAAAAUGAUUUUGAGAUUAAAUGCUUGGUUCUAUGAUUUUAAGAUGGCUAUCCAAAAUCCCUUCCCUCAUACCUUGACACAUCACUGCAGGAUUAUAAGCUUGUGUUAAUCUCAUUAUUAAUGUCUGUGUAUGCCUUUGAAGAUUUGUUCAUUGAGAACUGCAUUGCACGUCCACUUUUUGUGUUCUUCUAAUUACAUAUCUCUUGGAAGCAUAGAUAUUAAAGCUACAUCGUAGUUCAUUCUCUUGUUGGUGUUAUGUUGUUGGUUGUACAUUGGUGCAAAGAAUCAAAUGUUUUCUUGAUCUCUAUCAUCUUCAUGAGCUGUAUUCUAUUGUUUGGGUACAUUUAUCUACGCCUAUGCUUAAAUUUGUGUUUCAAUGGUCAUCUCCUUGUUCUGUUGAGUCAUUGUUCCUCAUUAGAUAAAUGAAGUUAUGAUUUGGAAUUAUGGGGGAGUGUCUUCAUCUGAUUACAUUCAUUCUCUCUGGGGGAGUUUUCAUUAUGGGGGAGUUCAAUCACAUUUGUGCUUAUUUGUUGUUAGUCUAAUUGUUGCUACACUUUGCUUAGGCAUAUCCAUCUGAUUUAGUACAUAUCCCUUAUCCGUUGUGCCGUUGUUGUUCUUAUCAUGUUUACUUGCAGCAAAUUUGACUGUUCUGUGUGAUCUUCUACCAUUUCUUUGUCUUACCAUGACCAAAUGGGGGAUAAAAAAUUUCGUUGUACUUCAUAUCUUGUAAGCCUUUACCCAUGAUAAAUUUCACUUGUUCUUGUCAAGAGUUGUUCUUUUGCAUGAGUUGUUACUUGGUCUUCUUCUGUUGCUUGAUGUUCUUUUGAGUGAAAUUAGUUAUAGGCUUGGGAUAUUUUGUGAAGGAAAGCCAAAGGGGGAGAUUGUAAAGUCUAGCUUUAAGUGUUUUGGCUUUCCUUGUCAAAUAUUGUAAUUGAACCAUCACACAUGCUCAAUCUAGCUUUAGAAUAUACUCAGAUUAUGGGUUGUUGCUGUUGGAGUAAAUGUUCAAUAAGUGGCACAUUUCAACUCAAAUGUGCAUUUCAUAUCUAUAGUUGUGUUGCAUUCUGUCUAGUUUAAUUGUCCAGUCAGUUUUACGUGUUGACUUCCAGUUGUCUAGGCACACAAAUUAAGACAACCCAAAUGGGCUGAUUGACACCUUUCUGAUGGUAGCCAGUUUAUGGCCAUUGAU